UUCAAAGUCCCUUCAACCUUAGGGACAGACACAUCAAAAUCUCCUUUUACUUUGGGUCCUUUCAAAUCCAGGUCAACAUCAGGUAUGGAGAUCUUGGGAGCUUUGAUAUUUAUUUCAGGCAUCUUGAACUUGGGGCCCUUUAGUUUCGCAUCUGGACCUUCGAUAUUCACAUCAGGAACAUCAACGUCCACUUUGGGUCCUGAGACAUCAAUGUCAGCCUUGGGCAGGUUCACAUCCACAUCUGGGCCCUCUCCUUUGAAGCCAGGCAUGCUGAACUUGGGCAUUUUCACUUUGGGCAUUUUUAAGUGCCAGUCUGGGCCUUGAACGUCCACAUCUGGGCCCUCUCCUUUGAAGCCAGGCAUGCUGAACUUGGGCAUUUUCACCUUGGGCAUCUUCAGGUGCCAGUCUGGGCCUUGAACCUCCACAUCUGGGGCAUCAAUGUCCAUUUUGGGUCCUUUGAUUUCAAC
rnacentral:lncRNA from 1 species